rnacentral:lncRNA from 1 species
ACUAGACUGCUGCAGACUCGUAGACCUUCUGCAGGCCCGUUUCACUCACCAUUAGGCAGGGCACAACUGCUCCGAGUUUCAGCCACUCCUCACACUGGCCUGCUGUGCUCUCUAGGGAAUCCCGGUUGUGUGUUUUGGGGUUCUGCUGUUCUCAAGCCCAUCAGUUGCCCUGUUUCUUCUCUCUGCGUUCUCCUUCACAGACACUGAUAACGUGAAGGUCUUGUGGCUGUCGGUGUUUUGACCCCCAUCCCUGUCUCUGUGUUGUGGGGUUCAGUAGAGAUACUUUGUUGCCUGGUUUUGUUGUAAACAUGGUCCGUGGGUUUUUGGUUUUGCUGUCUACUUGCUCUGUCUUUAUGUGAGCCCCUGUACUUCUUUCUCUCCUGCCCAUUUGAUCCGUUUUCCACAUCAUUGCUUAUGCUUGCUUGAUCCUUCAGGUGACCAGUAUGCACUGAAGAUGAGGUUUGUGGACCAUGUGUUUGAUGAACAAGUGAUAGAUUCUCUGACUGUGAAGAUCAUCCUGCCUGAAGGAGCCAAGAACAUUGAAAUUGAUAGUCCCUAUGAAAUCAGCCGUGC